AUUCAGAGCCCCAGCCUGUUCAUAAAAAAAAUCAGAUGAAUUUUGUCUGCGGAACAUUCUGCAAAAAUAUCUGACCAUCCUAGCUACUCCGGAGGCUGAGGCAGGAGGAUCACUUGAGCCCAGGACUUUGAGGCCGCUGUAAGCUAUGAUCAUGCCACUGCACUCCAGCUCAGGCAACAGUGAGACCCGGUCUCAACAAACAAAAGAAAAUAAAAGAAUGGUAGACAAGGAAAGCAGUUGAACAGCUAUGUGAGAAGCCUACUUUCUCUUCAUGUAACACGUUGGCCUAAGAGAUCUAUAGAGCUUUUUAAAAACAAAGAAGGCAGCAAGAUUUAAAAUAAUAAAACCAGCAAUAGGUAUUUUUAAAAGUGAGAGAAACUAUCAGAGAGCUGUAGCAGAAAAGCAAGUUAAAAAUAAAGGAAACAGAAAAGGAACUGAUACAGCUGAUUUGAUACUAGAAAAAUCACCCAGGAGGCGGCGUGGAGAAUGGAUUGGAGAAG
rnacentral:antisense_RNA from 1 species